ACGCUGGCGGCACGCCUUAUACAUGCAAGUCGAACGAAGUAGCAAUACUUAGUGGCAGACGGGUGAGUAACAUGUAGGUAUCUUCCCUUUGGUGAGGAAUAACACGAGGAAACUUGUGCUAAUACCUCAUAAGUCUUCACGGAGAAAGCUUUAUGCGCCAUAGGAUGAGCCUGCACUUGAUUAGUUUGUUGGUAGGGUAAUGGCUUACCAAGACUGUGAUCAAUAGCUGAUCUGAGAGGAUGAUCAGCCACAUUGGGACUGAGACACGGCCCAAACUCCUACGGGAGGCAGCAGUAGGGAAUAUUGCACAAUGGAGGAAACUCUGAUGCAGCGAUGCCGCGUGAGUGAAGAAGGCCUUUGGGUUGUAAAGCUCUUUCGUCGGGGAAGAAAAUGACUGUACCCGAAUAAGAAGGUCCGGCUAACUUCGUGCCAGCAGCCGCGGUAAUACGAAGGGACCUAGCGUAGUUCGGAAUUACUGGGCUUAAAGAGUUCGUAGGUGGUUAAAAAAGUUGGUGGUGAAAUCCCAGAGCUUAACUCUGGAACUGCCAUCAAAACUUUUUAGCUAGAGUAUGAUAGAGGAAAGCAGAAUUUCUAGUGUAGAGGUGAAAUUCGUAGAUAUUAGAAAGAAUACCGAUUGCGAAGGCAGCUUUCUGGAUCAUUACUGACACUGAGGAACGAAAGCAUGGGUAGCGAAGAGGAUUAGAUACCCUCGUAGUCCAUGCCGUAAACGAUGUGUGUUAGACGUUGGAAAUUUAUUUUCAGUGUCGCAGCGAAAGCAUUAAACACACCGCCUGGGGAGUACGACCGCA
rnacentral:rRNA from 1 species